ACCCUAUCAAUGUUGCCUCUGCUGUUCGGAUAUUCUCACAGUAGUGCAAUGUUGCUUAUAGGGUUC
rnacentral:pre_miRNA from 1 species